GGGGAGGCAGGCCCCUGCAGGCCCCCCUCCCUCUGCAACAGAGCUGGCUGCCCCAGCCUGUGAUUUGUGUUUACACAGGCUCCACAAUGAGGUGUGGCACUUAAUGAAAGGGCUCUGUCACUUACCCAGUGAAACAGGGAGUCUGAAGGCCAAAGAACUGGUUACUUCUUGUACGUGAGGCAGGACGAUCUGAGCUCCGGCCCGGACGGAGGGCGAGCACUCGGCUCCCUUCAGUUCAGCACAGAGGAGCAGACCUGCUGCUGAGCUGCCGUGCAGCACGAGCUGGGGGAGCGGGAAAUCAUGACCCACAGGCUUGUCUUCAGAGAGCCUGUUGAGGGUGGCAUGUGAUGGGCACCUGAGCACCCAGAUACAGUUGAGGUGCAUAAAGAGAAGGAGUAUGAUGUGCAAGGCACACACCUGUACUCAGCUGAGUGCCACAAUACACAGAAGCCCGAAAUAGCUGUCGGAAGCCGGUGGCGGCUGCACUGCUGCUCCUAAUAUACACUUCCUUGCACCUGUGUCCUGAGCCCUUUGCCGAGUGACUUGGCUGUGCCCCUGGUGAGAAGAGGUGAACAUUCCCCUUCAUCCCAUUCACCGACCUGCACGUGGCCGUGUGGCCUACUCUGGACUACAGCAGACACUGGGAGAGCCUACAGAUGGGCUUGCAGUUUGCUGGCAUCCUGCACUUUUGUCCUCUGCCAUAAGCAGAACCGAUCCAGGUGGGCACUUGUCCCACAGUGAGGAGACACCUGCAGGGCUCUAACCCAUGUCCAGAGCAGAGCCCGGCCCACCCUUGUGCAAAGCCACCAACAUUAUCACGGCAAGAGUGCAUGCAGCCUCUAACUCCCCCUCCAAAAUCUCUUCCACCCUUUCUGUUUCCUUAUCAUAUCACAGCCCACACCAAAAAUUAUCACUAGCUGGCAUAUAAGAACUAAAACAUAGGUCAUAUUUUCUACGUUUAGUCAAAAAACUUGCCUACGACGUGUAUUGUUUCAAAGGCUGACAGUUUCUCUCCAGUCAUGGUUUUUUGGCAAUAUGAGCAAUGGAUGUCUGGGAUGAAAACUCUGCCAUAUAGAAUGUAGCCUACAGAGCACGUAUUCAGAUUUAUGCCCUCUAAAUGGAUUACUACAUUCUGAAUGGCAUUAACUUUCCAAUGAGUAAGAGCCACUCAUUCACCUCUCUCCUCUAUUCCCAGUCCUUGAAAUAGUUGAUUUCAAAUGUUUUCACCUAAGGUAAAUGAUAAUAUAUGCAAAGAUUUUGUACAAACUCCAGGGGAAUUCCUGAGAUAUCUCACAAAGUUUGAAUCUAUGGAGACAAAGGAAAAUUGUGCAACGAGUGGUGUUUUCUUUCACAUAGUGCAGCAGACAGGAUCACAUGCCUCCAACGUGGGAAGGGGAACACGUCGACCCUAGGCAAGCAGAGGGCCUUAGCAUGCUGACUCUGCAGGCUCAUCCUGGGGCCUGCCUGAGCAGCCGUGUGGGCACCGGGACUGCAGUCCUUUCCCCUGCCUGCCCCAGCCCCACCAUCUCUUGCCUGGAGGUCAUUUGGCCACCCUCUUAGUGUCAAAGGCAGAAGCUAUGAGAAAGAAGGAUAGGAGAGGGAUGCGGACCAGUUUUCAAAUCCGGCAGGAGGAGCAAGGUCCUGGGGAGCAUGUGGUGGAAGGUGAGCAUCCCGACCUAGGAAGGCAUUUCCGAAUGCAGGGAACACAGUCACACCAAAGCGUAUGUCCAUAACCAUCGUGGAAACUAACUAGGCCUUCUGACGAGAAAUACAGAAGGGAGAGCCCAUGCACACUAAACUACCACAAUAUUUGAGCAACAGAGCGAGAAAGAAGCCAGCACCAUAAUUUAAGAAGCUUAAUAUGGUGCUUGACUAUUUGGGGUGAAUAAUUACUCAAUAUUUUAAAAUUUUCUUUGUAUAUUUUAAUUUAUUACCUUUCUUCCAGAAGUCACACUCACCAAAAUCUAUUCUUUUGCAAUUAUACCAAUGAAAUUAGAGAUAUGGCCUCUGACCCUUUCCCACUUUUGAGUCUAGGACUUUAAGGAAACUACAUCAUCAUUACGAAGACUGGGGAGCAACAGCGUCAUGGGCACCGCUCUGCUCUGCAUGAAGGAGUCCGACAGCUGCCAGCGGGGAGCUUUGGUGGUGCCAAAUCCCCUGGAGAGAGGAGGCUGCAGCCCCAGGCAGCAGGGAGCCCUGGAGGAAGCUGCCUCUGCAGACUCGCGGGAAUGCCAGCUCCGGGUUUCAUUCCUUUGUUCACUGCUGCUUCCCAAGUGCCAGACGGAGCCUGGAACUCAGUGGCUGCUCUAAAGAUACUGUUGAAUGAGUAAAUGAACGGAAUUGCACAGGAGCGAGGCCACAGUUCUACAGCUGAGCUGCCUGUCACGGCCCUCACCCAACCACCACUGCUGGAAAUGUGCAGACAGGGUGUGCCUCUCCCGUUUAAGGGAAAUGUAUUGAGAUAUCAUUCACAUACAUGGCACGUGCUCAGGGAGCCCCCCAGGAUGACAGAGCUCACCCAUCACCCCACAGAACGUCUCUGCCCCAUCCAGGCAGGCCCCAGAGUACACUGGGUCUGGCUUCUUUAGUCAGAGGUGGUUUGAGUGAGUCUAGAGACUUCAUAGAAUCUGGGUCACAGAGCAGGCACCCUUUUCCAUCUGGUGUCUUCCACUCAGCGUAGCGGUCCCGAGAUCCAGCGUGUCUCUGCUAGGAUCAGCGGUUUGCUCCUUGGUGUUGCUGAGGAAAAUUCUACUGCAUGGAACACCACCAUCUAUCCACACUGGAUAGACACCAGAUGAGUGCUUCCGCCUGCUGUGAAUGAAGCUCCUAUGAACAGUCUCAUAUUAGGUAUGAAAGGAAAAUAAAUCAAUCACUAAACAAAGGGGAAAGUCAAGCUGGGAGCUGCCUCCCAUCCUAUUCCUAAAUAAGAUAGCUACAAAGAUAAAAACGCUGUUCCUCCCUCACAAUUUGCUCACAAGGAACUUCCUUGUGGAACAAGGACAGACAGAACUCAAUCAUCCCUCCGCUCACAUGAGACAAACACAGAUCGGAAUGCUUCCUCCGCCCUGUUGUUUCACCCAGCCAGACUAAGGCAUACGUAACUAUUCCAGUAAAUUGUGCAUUCGGUGAAAGGCUAAUCAGAAACUUAAAAGAAUGCAGCCAUUUGUCUCUUAUCUACCUACAACCUGGAAGCCCCCUGCGCGCUUUGACUUGUCCUGUCUUUCCAGAUAGAACCAAUGUACAUCAUACAUAUAAUGAUUGAUGUCUCAUGUCUCCCUAAAAUGUAUAAAACCAAGCUGUUCCCCGACCACCAUCACCAGGACCUCCUGAGGCUGUGUCACGGCACGUCCUCAACCUUGGCAAAAUAACUUUCUAAAUUUAUUGAGACUUGUCUCAGAUACUUUUUGGUUUACAAAGGUGUUUGUGGACAUGUAUAUUCAUUUCUCAUAGAUAAGUACCUAGAAGUUGAAUUGCUUAGACAUGAGUAAAUGUAUGUUUAACUUUUUCAGAAACUCCCGAACAUAUUUCCAAACUAUACCGUUUUACACUCUGUCAGCAGAAUUUAAAAGUUUCCACUGAACCACAUCCUUGUCAACGUUUGGUAUUGUCAAUAUGUUUAAGUUAUUGAUAUUGUUCUAGUGAAUGUGUAGAGACAUCUCGUUUUGGUUUUAAUUUGCAUUUUCCUAAUGAGGAAUAAUACUGAGAAAUUUUUUCUUUCAUAUUGUCAUAUAUGUGUCUUCUUUCUUAAAGUGCCUAGUCAAAUAUUUUGCUCAUUUUUUAUUGCUUUUUAUUAUAAACUGUGUUUUUUUAAAUAUUAUCUUAACACACGUCUUUUGGCUGAUAUAAUAUUGUAAAUAUUUUCUCCCAUUCUGUGGUCUACUUAUUGUUUCCUAAUGCUGUCUUUUGAAGAGCAAAAUAUUUUUCUCCAUUUAUGGAGACAAGAUGGUCAACUUAGCUAUUCCAAAAUGUUUUUAAAAUUCUAGUUUGUUUUAAAACAACCACAGCAAACUGCAUGGAUUUGUUCCACAUCUUUGAAAGAAAAACAUUAUUUUAUUUAUUUCACAGUGGAAGAUAAGUCAGUAAGGCCCCACUUCGGCAGGUUUUGUUUUCGUUUCCUCAUGCCUCUGCAAUGCUCGGAGUCACCCACGCCUUACUCACUGCGGCUGGAACGAACCCAGACUCCUCACUCCUCCCACAGCCUCUGGCGCAGGGCGCUCCUUGCUUGAAAGAAACGUUUGCGAUUUUUAGUGGAAACGUCCGUGUUUUCUUGGUAACUGGUAAAUGGCUGUAGAUUACUGACACGCGGUCCUUUGUACGUAACAGAAGGCUUUGAGUGUUUCUGUGAGGAUCACCCUGUGAAGAAACGGCUGCAGUGAGAGCAGCCGAGGCGGGACGCAGCCCCGGACGUGGGGUCAGAGAGGAGCCGUGCGUGGGGUCAGAGAGGAGCCGUGCGUGGGGUCAGAGAGGAGCCGUGCGUGGGGUCAGAGAGGAGCCGUGCGUGGGGUCAGAGAGGAGCUGAGUUCAGGACGGGCAUGGCAGCCGCAGGAGGAGGGCAAGGCGGAGCCCAGGAGGGGCAAAGUGGACAAAGCCAGGGCUGGAGAGGGGAGACCCAGGAUCAGCACCACGUUCCACGGGGAUGGCACAGAAGCCUGAGAGGCCACGGCCAAAUGUGGAAAUUGGCUUUGCCAAAUCUUGCAUUUCAGAGAGAAAAGGCAAUAUGGCAUUAAUGCUUGCCUUGUUUAAUUUUCGUAAUUUUCCCUUUCUUCCUGCCAAUAGCUUGCUUUGUUAUCCGGAGGGUAGCCACGGUUUUAGCUCACAGUGAUGUCAACUUGAAGCUUCUCUCCACAAGCAGCUGUGACCUCAGCUGCCGUGCAGUCAGCUUCCCCGGCCUCCCUCCCCAGCCUCCCUGGUCUCCCAGGCACAAGGCUGGGCACUGGCUUCAGAGUGGCUGCAAGGGCACGGCCCCCAGGCCUAGGGCUGAUCAGCGUGAACAGUACCCAGCACACUUGCUUCAAAAAGUAAGAAGAUAUAGAACACAAGCUGCUUGUUCUCAUGACUAUAGCACAAACUAUAAAACAAAACAUCUUCCUCCAGAACACGGCAAGCUGGAUGGACAGUGAUCUGGACAAAAAUUUGCUGUAGGUUUUGUAACUGGGGUUCAGUGAGGACCAGGCUCCCCAGAGCAUACAUGUGGAGACAAUUAAGUUGAUCCCAUUUUCCAAGACUCAGAGGAGAUGUAUUUAUAUUAGGAAUAUAAACUUGCUAUUAAUGCAACUUCAGAAUGUCCAGGUCAUCCGUUGGGAAAAAAAAAAGAGUAAGUCUAGGGCUGGUUCGUGCUGUUGCUACAUGGAGGGAAUCCACAUCCAAGCCUGCCGCUCACAUGCUGGGACACAUUGCCUCAGCCUCCAUCUCUGGGAGUCCCACGCUUUCUCUCCUGGGUUGUCCCACUAUUCCUUUUGAAGUCCUCAUGUUAGUGACAGUUCAAUUUUCUCUUCACCUUCAAAAUUGCAGAGAACCUAAUUUCUACUGACCAGUCAAGCUUGUUUCAUUUAUCUUCCAUGUUAACUUCAAUUAAAAUGUUAACCAUCUGGAAUCUUUGGCCUCUUAUGUGACAAAAAUAGGCAUUAAAUUGUAUCAUUUCUUAAAUUCUCUGUUGAAAAGUCCAAAUACGUUACUGAAUAUGAUACAGAUUAGUAAGAAUUUGGGCUCAUUAAAUGUAAGAUAAUUUCAUAGCUUAAGGUAAUUUCACACCCCAAGGGACUUAUAACCUAAACACAAAGCAGAUCACCAACAUUAACUGUCAGCUGUCCACUGGAGAACUAUCUCAGACAAAAAAAUAAAAUUUGGAUUAGCUCUCCAUGGUGCACAAUACUUUCAUGAACCAUCUCUUUUGGGUUGGCAGCUGCAGUGUGUUCUGAGAGUAUGUUAAUGCUACAAUAACAGUAAAAAUAAAAUUAAGUUGGGAACAUACAGAAAAAAAGAAAUUGAUUACAUUAUUCCUAAUGACGACCUGAAUCAAAGUUGGCACUAAAUAAAUUUUUGUCAGAAAGGAGAAAAGAAAUGAGAGAAAUAAAAGAGAGGAGGCAGGAUUUUAUAUUCUGCUCCCUUUUUGGAAAA
rnacentral:lncRNA from 1 species